rnacentral:rRNA from 1 species
UACGAACCGUGCGAACGUUGUUCGGAAUCACUGGGCUUAAAGGGCGCGUAGGUGGUUUGCCAAGUCGGGGUUGAAAUCUUUCGGCUUAACCGGAAAAGUGGCUUCGAUACUGGCAAGCUGGAGGGAGGUAGGGGCGGAUGGAACUUCCGAUGGAGCGGUGAAAUGUGUUGAUAUCGGAAGGAACGCCGGUGGCGAAAGCGAUCCGCUGGACCUCUUCUGACACUGAGGCGCGAAAGCCAGGGGAGCAAACGGG